GUGUGAGAUGCUUCUCCUACAGAUUCCUUUUUACAUUUGAAAUUUCCAUAAGUGUUACUUGUACUAGGUCCCAUUGUCUGCCCUCAACUUUUAGCCCUCGGAGUGACUUCAACAUAAUCAAGCUUUUUGCCUUCCUAAAUUGCAAAAUAAUUUUCAAGAAUGACGCUUGCUAUGGAAGAACCAUCAUGUAGUUCUGCAGUAGAAGCCAUUGACUUAAUUUCAGCAGUGAAGGGGUUGCAUGGGCUUAGCUCCCUGGAACUUCAUAAGUUAUUGAGGGACUCCGAAAACUUCACUAUUCACUACCUUAAUAAAAAAGGGUCAUCAAUUAAGAUUGAUAUGGAGAAGCUUGCAGGAUUUCUUCCCUUACACCUUAUGGCAGUGCUUAUGUCAUCUGACAAAGAUGAAACCCUGUUCAGAUACUUGUUAUCCGGCAUUCAUUGUGUGAUUUAGCACCUCGACACGCUAAACUUGAGCAGAUUUUGCUAGAUGAUGUCAAGGUGACAGAGCAGCUGCUUGACCUGGUGUUUUAUUUGCUAAUUGUUCUUGGUGGUUAUAAACAGGAAACCUGUAAUGACUGCAUGCCCCUUACGCAUUCAGCAAUGGUGGCAUGCAGUCUAUAUCUAUUAACAGGAUGUAUAUGUUCACAAUGGCCAGAUCUUGCUCAUGUAUAGCUUGCACACCCUAAGUUAACUAUCUCUGCCAGCAAUGUGAGGCUUCUUUACAGUUUCUUCAAUCAUUGUGCCAACAAAAAAUGUUUCCAGAGCACCUACUCAGGAAUAAGGUUUCCAAGCCAGAACUCUAUUUUUCCUUUUGUUUUCAGUGAAUGAUAUGUUAGGGGUCUCUUAUAUGUUGUAUCAGUUGGCUGAAAGGGAAAGAGAUGGGACGAGUUCAUCAUUUUUUCAAACCAGAAGUACCCUUGGGAACUAUGUGAAAAGGGUGGUGUUCUGUUUUUGGCGCGAGCCAUCUUGAAGUUAAAUGUCAUACCACCUUUUGUAGAAUCCUCCAGAGUUGUGGCUGCUGUAUCUAGGCUGAAAGCUAAAGUCCUAUCAAUUCUGUUAAGUCUGUGUGAAUCAGAAAGCCUCUCUUACCUGGAUGACGUUGCUAGUUCACCAGGGAGCCUGGAUUUGGCAAAAUCUGUAGCUUUAGAGGUUUUUGGGUUAUUGAAGACUGGGCUUGGUAGAGAUCCCAAACAUCCCAGACAAGGACAGGAGAUUCAGAAAGAGCUGCAGAUAAUUUAGCUGCAUCAAGAACAUCAGGGGCCUUCAGCUAGUGACUAAAAACUUAAACUUGCACGUUUGUAUAUGUAGGACAGCACUACCUUAGGUACAAGUUUGUAGAAACAGGUUGUGAAGCAGUACCCUUUUUUUCAAUUUUCAGUUUAGAGGAUGUUUAGUAUUUGGGAAGGGGGGAAGAUGGGAUGGGAAUUAGCCUUGCCCAGUGAGGAAAUUUGUAACAGUACAAAGAUCCCCUUGUUUAAUGCCAUAUCUUAAUUUGGGUUGCCUCCAUCUACUUCCUUUAAUAACUGAGUUAUAUUUUUGAAGUAUCGAUAAUCAAUAUAACUGUUCAAAGACAAGCGAAUGUUAUAAAAUCAAUCUCUGAUUAGAGUUGGCCUGUUGAAAAGCUGAAAUUUCCAGGAAA